AGAAUCAACGCUGGCGGCGUGCCUCAGACAUGCAAGUCGAACGCGAAAGUUUCCUUCGGGAAGCAAGUAGAGUGGCGCACGGGUGAGUAACACGUAGGUAAUCUACCUUUGGAUGGGGAAUAACAAUCGGAAACGGUUGCUAAUACCGCAUAAUGCAGCGGCACCUAAUGGUGACAGUUGUUAAAGCGGGGGAUCGAAAGACCUCGCGUCUGAAGAGGAGCCUGCGGCGGAUUAGCUAGUUGGUAAGGUAAUGGCUUACCAAGGCUACGAUCC
rnacentral:rRNA from 1 species